rnacentral:rRNA from 1 species
UGACUGCUAAUACCGCAUAAGACCGCGGUGCCGCAUGGCACAGCGGUAAAAACUCCGGUGGUAUGAGAUGGGCCCGCGUCUGAUUAGCUAGUUGGCGGGGUAACGGCCCACCAAGGCGACGAUCAGUAGCCGACCUGAGAGGGCGACCGGCCACAUUGGGACUGAGACACGGCCCAAACUCCUACGGGAGGCAGCAGUGGGGAAUAUUGCACAAUGGGGGAAACCCUGAUGCAGCGACGCCGCGUGAGCGAUGAAGUAUUUCGGUAUGUAAAGCUCUAUCAGCAGGGAAGAAGAUGACGGUACCUGACUAAGAAGCCCCGGCUAACUACGUGCCAGCAGCCGCGGUAAUACGUAGGGGGCAAGCGUUAUCCGGAUUUACUGGGUGUAAAGGGAGCGUAGACGGCGAUGCAAGCCAGAUGUGAAAGCCCGGGGCUCAACCCCGGGACUGCAUUUGGAACUGUGUGGCUGGAGUGUCGGAGAGGCAGGCGGAAUUCCUAGUGUAGCGGUGAAAUGCGUAGAUAUUAGGAGGAACACCAGUGGCGAAGGCGGCCUGCUGGACGAUGACUGACGUUGAGGCUCGAAAGCGUGGGGAGCAAACAGGAUUAGAUACCCUGGUAGUCCACGCCGUAAACGAUGACUGCUAGGUGUAUGCGUAGAUAUUAGGAGGAACACCAGUGGCGAAGGCGGCUUACUGGACUGUAACUGACGUUGAGGCUCGAAAGCGUGGGGAGCAAACAGGAUUAGAUACCCUGGUAGUCCACGCCGUAAACGAUGAUCACUAGGUGU